GACGAACGCUGGCGGCGUGCCUAAUACAUGCAAGUCGAGCGAAUGAAUGGGAGCUUGCUCCUGUUCGUUAGCGGCGGACGGGUGAGUAACACGUGGGCAACCUGCCUGUAAGGCUGGGAUAACUUCGGGAAACCGGAGCUAAUACCGGAUAGUUUCUUUCUUCACAUGAAGAAGGAUGGAAAGAGGGUUUCGGCUGUCGCUUACAGAUGGGCCCGCGGCGCAUUAGCUAGUUGGUGAGGUAACGGCUCACAAAGGCGACGAUGCGUAGCCGACCUGAGAGGGUGAUCGGCCACACUGGGACUGAGACACGGCCCAGACUCCUACGGGAGGCAGCAGUAGGGAAUCUUCCGCAAUGGACGAAAGUCUGACGGAGCAACGCCGCGUGAGUGAAGAAGGUUUUCGGAUCGUAAAACUCUGUUGUCAGGGAAGAACAAGUACCAGAGUAACUGCUGGUACCUUGACGGUACCUGACCAGAAAGCCACGGCUAACUACGUGCCAGCCGCCGCCGUAACAC
rnacentral:rRNA from 1 species